rnacentral:rRNA from 1 species
CCCUUAGAUGUUCUGGGCCGCACGCGCGCUACACUGACGAAUGCAACGAGCUUAUAACCUUGGCCGAAAGGUCUGGGUAAUCUCCAAAUUUCGUCGUGAUGGGGAUAGAUUAUUGCAAUUAUGGGUCUUCAACGAGGAAUUCCUAGUAAACGCAAGUCAUCAGCUUGCACUGAUUACGUCCCUGCCCUUUGUACACACCGCCCGUCGCACCUACCGAUUGAAUGGUCCGGUGAAAUCUCGGGACGGCGGCUUGGUCGCUUGCGUCCGACUGCUGAAACUUGAUUAAACCAUAUCAUUUAGAGGAAGGUGAAGUCGUAACA